AGCUGGUCCGAGUACAGUGUUGUUUAUAAUUAAUUGUCACAAUCAGUUACAGGCUUCUUUCUUUCUUCUCCCCUCCCACUGCCUCACUUGACUAGCCUGAA
rnacentral:Y_RNA from 1 species